rnacentral:lncRNA from 1 species
UACAUGAUCAAUUUGUACAAUGCCCGUUAAUCCUCUUCAACUAGAGGAGCUAGACAUGACAUUAGCACGCAGGUCAUCAUAUCCUUUAACUGCCCACUACCACCACCCCCUUAAUUGUUAUAUAAGCAAGUUUGAUUAACGACCUCCAAGCGUGCUGCUACAUGUCCCUUCCUUUUUGGUCCUGCAGGAAUUUAGGACCUCUAGACUUAGGUAGUUUUAGACAAUCCUAAGGUGUUUAAAGGGGAAAAGUCUAGGCAACAACAAAUAAACAUAGGACUAUCAAUUAAAGAAGCAGGUAAAAGGCUCAUAUUGACCUUUACAUAUAUAUAGUCAAAUAAACAACACGUCUCAAGCAGCUGAUUUUGAAAAAGUUCAGAAAGCCUAGGAACAUGAUAUCUCGAUGCAUGUUACAGAUACAAGAUUUACAUGGUUUGUUUUAAUAGAAGUGGAAGAAUCCUAACUAGUUUGCCUACUUGUUUUAUUUUUACGCCUGGAUAAUUUCACACACAUAUAAAACUGGUUUCACAAUUGUUUGACAGCCUAAGGCUUGCCUAAGUGUGUAUAUGUAACCCCAAUCUGGGGCUACUUCAACUGAAGUCCUUUCAUCCUACAGGCAUGCUGAUCUAAGUGAUGAACAUUAUAGCAGGUGAUCUCAUAUUGAU